GAGUUUGAUCUUGGCUCAGAUUGAACGCUGGCGGCAUGCCUUACACAUGCAAGCCGAACGGCAGCACGGGAGCUUGCUCCUGGUGGCGAGUGGCGAACGGGUGAGUAAUGCAUCGGAACGUAUCCUGGAGUGGGGGAUAACGUAGCGAAAGUUACGCUAAUACCGCAUAUUCUGUGAGCAGGAAAGCGGGGGACCUUCGGGCCUCGCGCUCUUGGAGCGGCCGAUGUCGGAUUAGCUAGUUGGUGAGGUAAAGGCUCACCAAGGCGACGAUCCGUAGCAGGUCUGAGAGGAUGAUCUGCCACACUGGAACUGAGACACGGUCCAGACUCCUACGGGAGGCAGCAGUGGGAAUUUUGGACAAUGGGGGCAACCCUGAUCCAGCCAUGCCGCGUGAGUGAAGAAGGCC
rnacentral:rRNA from 2 species